AGACAUGAACUUGGGCAAAAUCAGGGAGAUGGUGAAGGACAGGGAAGCCUGGCGGGCUGCAGCCCGUGAGGUCACAGAGUCAGACACUCCUGAGCCGCUGAACAACAGCAGCCACCAACCCCAGAAUGACUAAAUCAGAAUCUCAGGGUGUGGGGCCUGGAUGCAUAUAAUUCUUCAAAGCUUCACAGGUGGUUCUCCAGGGCACUUGAUUUGCCAUGAUUGUGACAAAUUUGAUUACUGGUCAGUGGAUUUUCCCUACCUCUCCUGCCACUGGCAUCCAUGGGAAGAAUAUACCUCCCUGCUUUGGUGGCAUUGGACUUGAUAUGGCCAAAGAGGGCGGAAGUGGCAAGGUCAAGUCCCCAGCCUGGUCCUGAAGAGCCACCAUCCUUGUUCUUGUGUUUCUGCUGUUCUCAUGGAAAAGACAAGGCGUGGAUAGCUGACUGGUCCCAGAUAACAACAGGGAUGUGUGAGCAGCUUGGGCCUGACCUGGGGCCCAGGCCCAGCUUGGCUUGAAUCAGGCUAGGUGCAAGCAUGCAGGUUCAGCUCCAUGCCCUCAGUAUUUCUGAAAGCCUCUGGGGAUGCCUCGUGUGUCAUCACAAACCAGGUCAGAGCAGCUGCAGUGUGUCUUUGGGACACCCACAGCCUCCCGGCCGACAGGAACCGCAUUGCCUUUGGUACACAAGCCUUAGGAUGGACUAUGAGCCUGUAGAAAAGCUGGAAAUCCCCCCUCGCCUGAGCCACGAGAUGCUUUGUCUUCGGGGCCUGAAGCAGUGCUGCAUGUCUGUGAGUCUGGGAAGGUUUGUGUGUCACUUCCGCUUUUGUGGGAAGAAGUCAAGAGAACAAUGCUUCUGGGAGAGGAGAAGGUCUUAUAUUGUGGGUCAUCCAAAAUUCAGGGAGAGAAAGAACGUACCGUGGCCAACGAUUCCACUGUUCAUGCUGCCAGGUUGGGGAAGCACCACCCCUCCAUCUGUGUCCCCGUCUCUUAACCCAGCUGCCCAGGACUGAAGCUGCUCUUGCCCCCUUCUAGUGAAAUAAAGGC
ensembl:lncRNA